rnacentral:rRNA from 1 species
CAGCGUCACGAGUGGCAACCGUAUUUAUUGGGCCUAAAGCGUCCGUAGCCGGUUUGAUAAGUCUUUUGUGAAAUCGUUGAGCUUAACUUAACGGUGUGCAAGAGAUACUGUCAGACUUGGAAUUGGGAAGAGUUAGAGGUAUUCUGGGGGGAGCGGUAAAAUGCUAUAAUCCCUGGAGGACCACCAGUGGCGAAAGCGUCUAACUAGAACAAAUUCGACGGUGAGGGACGAAAGCCAGGGGAGCAAAACGGAUUAGAUACCCGAGUAGUCC